rnacentral:sRNA from 1 species
AUGGUAGACGAUUUUGGGUCUGCUGCUGACAAUGUAAAAAAACUAGCUGAAGAAAUUGUUGGAAGAUGUGUGGGCUUGCCACUUCAAAUUUUACAUUUUGGGUAUCUAAUGUCAGGGAAAGAUGCGAAUGAUCCAAAGUUGCUAGAAUGGCUGCAGCACAUCUAUCCUGACCUGAAACAAUGGCUUGCAUACCUGAAAAUAGGACGUAGUAAUUUUCUAGAAGAUUGGCUUCUUAGCAAGGGAAUAUAUUUUGAAGAUUGGCAUGAAAAUCUGAGAAAAAUAUAUGCUUUCUUUAAUCUCUUCCUUAGAGACUAUGAAAUUCCUACAAGGAGAUUAGUUGCUUUGUCCGCUGCAGAAGAAUUGGAGGAAGAAGGUCGUGACAAGAAUAAAAGUCCUAAACCUGUUGCAAUGUAUUAUUUGUCAAUCUUGAUUGGCCUCAACUUAAUUCGAGCAGUUGAAAUGAAUAUUAAUUGGAAAGUAACGAAAUGUCGCCUGCCCAAUGCUCUCAGAGAUCAAAAAUUCUUUCAAAGUACUAUUUCAGGUGAGAAUCUUGCUAUUUCUCAAAAAAAUAAAAUAAAAGAUGAGCAACUUGCUGAUCAUUGUGACAGAAGCUCUAAUAGUUUUAAUGAUAUUCAUUGCCAGGGUAUUAAUUCACCAAAUUUUCAGAAAAGGUACAAAUAUCUCGUCUCCUAUCUCUCAUUUGAUACAGGAGAAGGAUAUAAACCUGAAGAAGAUAUAAAGAACUUUCUUCAGAAGGGCAUUGCAAAUGGAUGCUUCCGAAGUUUAAAGGUUCUUGAUCUUGAGCAUGUAUACAUUCAGACCUCAAUUGCCCAGCAUAGGACAAUUAGUUCAAUUGAUGUAUUUAGGCUUAAGAUGGACUUACCUGGAGGAAAUCCCAUCAUCCGUAGGCAACUUACUGGACCUCCAAACUCUGGAUGUGAAGCAUACUUAUGUCAGAACUCUACCUAAGUCCAUAUGGAAGUUGCACAAACUUCGACACCUGUACUUGAACCAGAGUCAUCGAAGUAGAUUUUUGCCUCAACCAAGGAGCAGUUCCCUAAAGAAUCUACAAACAUUAUUGUAACGUCCCGUCAAUUUAAAAAAGAAAAGAAAACAAAACAAAAGAAAAAGAAGAACAAGAAGAAGAAGAAGAAGGAGAGGAUCGUAUUGUUUUAAGCUCCCACGUGGCCCCUACCAAACUCCACUACUCAUUACACAAUUCACUUCCUUUUAUCUCUUCUUCGGCGGGUUCACUCCUUCACUUCUCUUUUCUUUCUUUUUCUUCUUUUUCACUCCUUCAACUCUCUUGCCGGCACCUCCAAAUCAACAUCUCCACCAUCAUUUUUCCGACAAGAUCACCAAAAAAUUGCUAAGAACCCAUAAACACCUUCACAUCUUUUUUUUUUGAGGUAAAAAUUUCUCAUUUUUUUGGUGGGUUUUGUACUUUUGCUUGAGGAUAUUUUUAUCUAAGCUUUAAUAAUGAUACCCAUGUGAUUUAUGAGUAUUGAAAGUGAUAUUUAUGUAUUUUUAUGUAUGGGUUUUGUAUUGUGGAAUUAUUUGAUGAGUGGGUAUAUAUUUUGUGCUAUUGACGACUAUUUAAGUUUUUUGUAUGGUGGAAAAAUUUAGAAGUUUUAAGUUAUAACAUGUGAUGGUUGGUAAAUUUAAUUUUUCCAUUGGUAUUGGGUUUAUUUGGAGUUAGUUGAAGUUCUAAAUUUGUUGUCUUGGAGGAUAUUUUGAUUUUGCUUUCAUUGGUCUCUUAACCAUGUAGUGUAAAUUUUAUGAAAGCUAGUCAUAAUAUUGAAGAUGAUAUUAAAUGGGUUAACUCUAUAAAUUAGAGUUUAUGCCUUGUGAAUCUAUUUGUUAAGAAAUUUUGGAAGUGGAAUAUAUUAUUAUUGAUGAAGUUAAAUGCUAGGCUUGCCUAAUUAAGUGAUUAUUUGGCAAUUCCUAAAUUGUGGCUAGAUGCAAUUUCCAGCUCUAUACUUAUUGUGAUAGGUUUACUUGAUAUUGUUUAGGUUCUAGCUAAUCUCCUUGGAACUUGGAGAAUUAGGAUUUUGCAAUUGCGAGGUAAGUAGCUUUUUAAUGGGAUUUUUGAAAAAUAACAUAAAUGUUGUUUUUGGGUUAAACACGUUUUUGGAAAUUACCUAUGGAAACUAUAUUUUCCUAAAAACUACUAUGUCGUAACCUUAAUAUAUAUAUAUAUAUAUGAUUAUAUAUGAAAAUGCAUUAUAUUUGGUACUGUAUUUGGGAAAAUGUAUGAAUUGUUGAUAUGGAAAAAUGAGCAUCUUUUAUUUAAUCUUGAUAAGAAAAUCUUGGAUUUUAUGGUGUAUUGGAAAAUUUAAGAUACUUAUCUUGUCUUAGUACUUGGGAAAUUGAUAGAAAAUCUUUUUGACAAGAAUGAAGUUGAAAACCUUACAAAUUUUGUAAAAGUUAGAUUAUUUAAGGUUUUUUGAAACUACCUGGAUAUGAACUAUGUGUUUCAAAGUAAUGUAACCUGUGAGUUUAUGUUGUUUUAACACCAUGCCAUGUAUGAUUUCCCAGUGAUCACCCAAUUUGGUUUUCGUGGUCUUUGUGACAACAGAAUCAAGUUUGGGUCAGUGUCCUUUCACUUUGGAUGAUGUGUUCUUCCCUGCUGUCCAUGGGAGGAAAAGGAUUCCUUAAUUGUGUGUAGGUGAGGCUGUUGCCCAUGGGGCCAAGAGACCACAUGCAAGAGAGGUUCUAUUUGACGCGCUCUCUCUGCUGCCCAUGGGGGGAGAGAAAAACCUUGAGGGUAUGGGUGAAGCUGCUGUCCAUGGGGCCAAGAGUCUGCAUACCAGAGAAGACAAUAUCAUGCUAGUUGUGAAUGAGUGGAUCCCCUAAUCGGUCUAUGUGGUAGUGUGGUAUAUUUGAGAUAAAUUACCAUAUGUUAGAAUUUAUGGCUUUUGAAUUAUAUUAUUAUUGCUCACAGAUUAUAGCAUAUAGUUUCAAGAUAUUUACUUUGAGGAACUUGUAUUUCAUUAUUAAAUUAUUCUUGUUAUAUUAUUAUUAUUAUAGUAGAUGAAACUUGCAUUUCUCCCACCCCCAUUAAAUAUGCUACUUAUUGGGCUCUGACUCAUCCCAUUAUUUUAUAACCUUUUUAGAGUAGGCAAUAGUUUUUUGAGACAGUUUUUUGGUGGCUAAUAGUAGUUAGACUAACUACUGAUGGAGACUGAACUUUUGUAAUGGGUAUAUUAGAUGGUGUACAUCUUAGAAUAUGAUUGACUCAUUCUUUUGUAUAUUAAAGUGGUUGUGACGUUAUUUCCACUGAUGGGACAAGCUAAUGAUAUAUAAUUAAUUAUUCAAACCUCUAUUUUUUUGUGGCCAAUGGUCCUUAUAAUUAUUGUUUAGAGCUCUGACUUACUUUGAGAGUAUAUUCAAUGGAAUUAUUAUGAUAAUUCUUGAUGUUAGUAUUUGAUAUGAUUUAUGUGGAUUGGAUUGUCAAAAAGGAAAAUCUACAGGUUCUUUGAGAUGUCUUUUUCAUGCUUUAGACCUUUUGGGGUUUGGGGUGUGACAAUUAUGGGAUUUAUUCGUGGAUGAUUUCACUGCUAUAAAGAAUGGGCUGAACAAGCUGAAAAAGCUUACAAAACUAGGACUGGCAUUCCGCCUAGAGUCGCCAGAACAGAAAAAUGCAUUGGUCAAAUGGGUGAAAGGUCUGAUAUACCUCAAAUCUUUGAGAUUGAGAUCAGUUGGUGAGAAGGGUGAAGCUCUGGAUCUUUACUUGGAGAAUAUAUCUGAGCUCAACAAUCUCUCCAGCCUAUAUUUGUUUGGAAAGCUAGAGGAUCAGUCCAUCAAAUCUCUAUUUCCAAAUACCGACUACUUUUGUCUGUCUGACCUUACCUUGUCUGCCUCGGGGCUUAAGGAGGAUCCAAUGCCAACUUUAGGGAGUCUCCCCAAACUUAAAUCACUCUCUUUCCACCUUGGCUCUUUCAAAGGAAAAGAGAUGGUUUGCUUGGGGAAGGGUUUUCCCGAACUUCUAGUUUUGAAACUUGGGAAACUAGAGUCUCUAGAAGAGUUCCAGGUGGAGGAAGGAGCAAUGCAAAAACUGAGGGAGCUAGAUAUCAGGUGCUGCAACAAAUUGAAGGUCCCCACCGGGUUGAAGCACUUAAAGAGUCUCCAAGAAUUGAAGUUGACAAAUAUGCCAGAAAAUUUCACCACAACAAUAGAGAAAAAGAAGUGGCAAAUCUGGGAUGACACUGCCCACCCUCCCAGGAUCACAAAAGACCACUUGAGUGGAAAGUAA